rnacentral:rRNA from 1 species
CCCUUAGAUGUUCUGGGCUGCACGCGCGCUACACUGAAGCUAUCAACACGUUUUCCCUCCCUGAGAAGGGCGGGUAACCUUUUGAAUCAGCUUCGUGGUAGGGAUCGGGGCUUGCAAUUGUUCCACGUGAACCAGGAAUUCCUAGUAGACGCGAGUCAUAAGCUCGCAUCGAUUAAGUCCCUGCCCUUUGUACACACCGCCCGUCGCUACUACCGAUUGAACGUUUUAGUGAGGCAUUUGGACCGACGCAUCUCAGUUUAACCGCUGGUUUGUGUUGGAAAGACUUCCAAACUUGAGCGUUUAGAGGAAGUAAAAGUCGUAACA